rnacentral:lncRNA from 1 species
CACCAGCUGGGAUGAUGGGGCUGUCCCCACAACAAAGGCCCCUUUUUGGAGAUCCCUGGGGCUCAGGAGCCAGUGAGUCUGUCUUUGGGGAAGAUAAGGCAGAGGGCCAACCCUCACGACCCACGAGUGUGGCAUGUCCAUGACCAGAGACCAAGGCCAGGCUUGCGACAUGAAAAGAAAAAUGGCCCCAAGUGGGACUGCCUUUUUUUAAUUCCAAGGAACAGCACCGGCCACAUCAGCACUGUUCUCGCCUCUGCCUCCAAGCUCUGUUUCUCAUCUGGCUGCUGAGAGAAGUUGCUGUUGCUCUGCCAGCAAAAUGUCUCUAGGAAGAAAGGAAUGGAAAAUAUGAGGAAAUUUCCUUACAAAAUCUCAAAGAAUCCUCGCUCAGCAUAACCAGUGAGAAUUAGCUGCACAAUGAACCACAUCGGAAAAGGCGAUCAUAAUUCCUCAGUGCCUGAUGCCCACCCAGAUUUACAGCAGGACCGCUCUUUGUGGAUCCACAAAAGGUUUCCACGUUGAGGGAGAGCUUCCCAAAUGGGACCGAAGACAUGAAUCUCAUAGGUGAGGACCCUCACUGGGGAGUCCUGAUGGAGAGAUGGGACCAGCCACCCUGGAACCUGAAUAAGGAAUUUGAAGACUUGGACUUGGGGCUGGAAAUGCCAUUUUACUUGGAAAUAAGAAAAUUUAUAUGGAAUAUAAAUAUGCAAGUGAAGUACUGAGGAUGAUUUUCAGAACCUUCUUUGUAGAUAAUUACACCCAGGUGAGCCUCUUCUGAAUGUCACCUUGAAUUAUAAAUGCCUCCCUCUCUUCUAUCCUCUUAGGCAAUGAAGAUACAUGGUGCAGAAGUUUUGAAAUCAGCCAUAUCUGGCUGAAAGUCCUGAAUCUGCCAUUUAGUGGCUGUGUGACCUUAGGAAAGUCAUGCCACCUCUCUGAGCUUCAGUUUCUCCAUCUGAUUCAUGGUAGUAGUAAUGACAGCUAACACUUUCCUGAUCAUUUUCUAUGAACCAAUGUUGUAAAUCGUCUACAUCGAUCAACUCUUUUCAACCUCAUGACAAACUCAUCAUGUAUAUUGUUAUGGGUUGAAUGGUAUUUCCCAAACAUUUACAUGUUGAAAUCCUAACCCCCAGUAUCAUAGAAUGUGGACUUAUUUGGAUAUAGGAUUGUUGUGGAAGUAAUUAGGUAAUUUAAGAUGACAUUUUACUAGAGUAGGAUGAGCCCCUAAUCCAACAUGACAGGUAUUCUUACAAAAAGAGGAAAUUUAGGCUGGGCGAAGUGGCUCACGCCUGUAAUCCCAGCACUUUGGGAGUCUGAGACAGGCGGAUCAUGAGGUCAGGAGUUUGAGACCAGCCUGGACCACAUGGUGAAACCCUGUCUCUACUAAAAACACAAAAAUUAGCUGGGCAUAGUGGUGUGCACCUGUGAUCUCAGCUACUCAGAAGGCUGAGGCAGGAGCAUUUCUUGAACCUGGGAGGCAGAGGUUGCAGUGAGCUGAGAUCAUGCCACUGCACUCCGGCCUGGGCAACAGAGCAAGACUCUUUCUCAGAGAAAAUUAAUAAAUAAAAAAAAGAAGAAAUUUGGACACAGAGACACACACAUAGGGAGAAUGCCAUGUAAAGAUUGAAACUAUUUUGCCACAAGCCAAGAACUCCCAGAAGCUAGGAGAAAGGCCAGGAACAGGUCUUUCCCUGGUGCCUUCAGAGGGAGCACAACCCUGCUGACACCUUGAUCUUGGACUUCUAGCCUGCAGAGCUGAGACAAUAAAUUCCUGUUGGUAAAGCCACUUGGUUUGUGGUACUUUGUUAUGGCAGCCCUAGCAAAUACGUACAGUCAUGCAUGGUAUAACAGCAUUUCCAUCAAUGCAAAUCACAUAUUCAACGAUGGUCCCAUAGAUAAACAGUACCAUAUUUUUACUGUACCUUUUCUAUGUUUAGAUAUGUUUGGAUACAUAAAUACUUACCACUGUGCUAUAACUGCCUACAGGAUUCAGCACAGGAACAUGUUGUAUAGGUUUGUAGCCUAGGCAUAAUAGACUAUACCGAAUAGCCUAGGCGUGUAGUAGGCUAUACCACCUAGGUUUGUGUAAGUACACUCCUUGAUGUCCAUGCAAUGGCAAAACCGCCUAAUGACACGUUUCUCAAAACAUAUCCCCUUUAUUAAGCAACCUGUGACUAUAGAGUCAGCCCUCCUUUUCCACAGUUCCACAUUUGCAGAUUUAAUUAACUAUAAAUCAAAAAUAUUCAGAAAAACAAAACAAUAAAAAAUACAAAUUUGAAAAACUAUACGGUAUAGCAAGCACUUAUGUAGCAUGUACAUUGUAUUAGGUACUAUAAGUAAUCUGGAAAUGAUUUAAAGUAUAAGUGAGGAUGUGCAUAGGUUCUAAGCAAAUACUAAGCUUUUGUUUUAAAUUUGAGACAGAACCUCCUCUGUUGCCCAGGCUGGAGUGUAGUGGCACAAUCUCAACUCACUGCAACCUCCACCUGCUAGGCUCAGGCAACCUUCCCUGCCUCAGGCUCCCAAGUACCUGGGAUUACAGGUGCUCACCACCACACCUGGCUAAUGUUUGUACAUUUAGUAGAGAUGAGGUUUUGCCCUGUUACCCAGACUGGUCUUGAAUUCCGGGGCUCAAUCGAUCCAACUGCCUCAGCCUCCCAAAGUGUUGGGAUUACAGGCUUGAGCUACUGUGCCUGGCCUAAGCCAUUUUAUAUAAGAGACUUAAGCACUGAUAGACUUUGAUAUCCAUGGAACCAAUUUCCCCAUAAAUACUAACGGACAACUGUAUGUAUAUGUGUGUUAUUACAUUUCCAUUUUACAGAUAAGAAAAACAAAAUGCAAGAACUUAAGGUCACACAGUAAGUAGGUGAGCUGAGAAUUAAACAUGAUCAAAACCUUUACCUUAACCCUUAUAUUACAUGGUAGUGGUACUUAAUAGGAUUGUCAUAAAGACCAAGUGAGAUAAUUCAUGCAAAUAUUUAGCUCUGUGACUAGCACAUAUUAAGCACUCAACAAAUUUAGCUACUAUUGUUUGUUGUGGUGGUUCUGUAUCCAGAAUUAUACAUUUAAUAUUCAUCACAAAUUCUUCAGUUGAGGUCCUAUUAUUCCUAUAUUAUAGAUUUUUAAAAAGACUCAGAAUUAAUGAUGUGACUGGGAUUUCAAAGCAAGUUCUUGCUCCAAAAAACUGUCUUGUUCCAAAUCCAAACUAAACGACCCCUAUUUUCUAUUUAUUAAUCUCCUUCUAACUCUAUUCAAGAAAAGAAUUUCAAUCUGCCCUUGUUGGAAAAAUUCCAGCCAAGCUCAGGAGCUAGAUUGUGGUGGUUCUUUUGGAGGAUUAUGAUGAGAGACAGGUGAAGAGGGCCCCACCCAUGAGAUGAAAUGGAUCUGGCAGGCCUUGAAGCUGCUUGGAUCUCUGCAGGCCUAAGUACUAGUUUACAUGGAUUAUAAUAGAGCUAGGCCUGGCUAGAGGACCCUAACAAAUGAUAUAAACUAAAACCCAUUAUGCCACUAAAAAUAAACUACCGAAUUGAGUCAGAGAAAAAUCUCUCCAUUAAACAGGGCUUGAUGAAAUUCUAACAAAAGUUCACACACAAGACCCAAAGACACAAGCAAUAAGAAAAAGAUAAACAAAUUUGACUCAAAUCGAAUUUUUUAAGUAUUUUUAAGCAGAAGAUGUAACUAAGGCAUCCUAGGCAAAUGCAGCCUGGAAGUUGGCAUUCACAGUGAGUAUAACCGACAAGGAAGUGGUAUCCAGAAAAACGUCUUUAAAGCUCCUACAAGUCAGUAAAAAUAAGAAAAACUGCUCACCAGGAAAAACUGGGCCCAGAUGUUCAGGCCUCCACCAUAAGAUCACAGGAAGGUUUGCAUUUCACAUCCUGUUUCUCAAGAAAUAUGGCCUACGCUUCUGUAUUAGUCCGUUUUCAAACUGCUAUAAAGAUACUACUCAAGACUGCAUAAUUUAUAAAGGAAAGAGGUUUUUAAUUGACUCACAGUUCCACUUGGCUGGGGAGGCCUCAGGAAACUUACAAUCAUGGCGAAAGGGGAAGCAGGUGUGUCUUACAUGGCAGCAGGGUAGAGAGAUAGUGUGAGAGCGCAGGAAAAGCUACCAUUUAUAAAACCAUCAGAUCUCAUGAAAAUUCACUCACUAUCACGAGAACAGCAUGGAGGAAACCACCCCCAUAAUCCAAUCACUUCACUCCUUCCACACAUGGGGAUUACAAUUAGAGAUGAGACUUGGGUGAGGACACAGAGCCAAACCAUAUCACCUUCAACUGAGCAAUCUGCUCCUAGGUGUACAUACCCUAACCUUCCAGGAGACAUGAAUCAGAAUGUUCCCUGCAGCAUUAUUUGUAAUAGUGAGCAAUAAAAACACCUAGAUGGAUAAACAAUUGGUGGCAUAUUCACAAAAAUGAACUAGAGAUAGUGGUAUCUGCAUGGAUACAUCUCAUAAAUAUAAUAGUUUAAAAAAGCAAAUGGCAUUUAUUGUGGAUCACGAGGUCAGGAGAUCGAGACCAUCCUGGCUAACACAGUGAAGCCCCAUCUCUACUAAAAAAAAUACAAAAAAAUUAGCCGGGCGUGGUGGCAGGCAUCUGUGGUCCCAGCUACUCGGGAGGCUGAGGCAGGAGAAUGGCGUGAACCCGGGAGGCGGAGCUUGCAGUGAGCCAAGAUCGCACCACCACACUCCAGCCUGGGCGACAGAGCGAGACUCCAUCUCAAAAAAAAAAAUUAAAAUUAAAAAAAAAAUAAAUUAUUCUCCAAACUUUUAGUAAGUCUGACAUUUUUCAUAAUUAAAAAAACAUAAAAUCUUUUCUAAUGAGAAUUGUAGGGCCAGAGGCACAGAGGGUUCCUGGGGAAAGAAUGUUCAAUAAACAGCAAGCAGCAACUUUUUCCUGUGUCAAGUCUAUUGGUCCUGCCAGGUGCCAGGAGCUGGAGGGUGAUGAAAAUGUUCAGACUCAUUGCUGCCCUCAGAUGGCUUGUGAUCUAACUGGGUAAGAAUCAAAUCAGUGGCAAUGCCAGUCAGGAGUGAAGCAACAAGGCCACAACAAUAUGUGGCAGUCACUCACCAGCCACCAGCCCACAGGAGCAGAGGCUCCUGGGACAUCUGGCCACAGAGAAGUCAACACAACUGGCUCCUAAGCUGCAAGCUUCUUGAAGACAUCUGAGUCCCUGUUCCCUCCCUACCCACAUCUCCAUACUUUUUAUGGUUGGUUACAUUUUUUGUUUUGUUUUGUUUUGUUUUGUUUUAGAGACAGUGUCUCGCUAUGUUGCCCAGGCUGGUCUCAAACUCCUGGACUCAAGUGAUCCUCUCUCAUCAGCCUCCCGAGUAGCCAGGAUUACAGGCAAAUGCCAUGCUGUUGGUGAAAUUUUGUUUAAUUUUUUAUCUUUAAUUAUGAUAUAUUUCAAGCAUAUGAAAAGGCACAGAUGUAAUGAACACCCGAGGACAUCCUAGACAACAGAUGUUAACAUCAUUUGCAUUUGUUUUGGAUAUAUUUUGUAAUAUAUCAACAUAGAUGGAGCAAAUCCUCACACCCUGACCCCAAGUCUUCCCGUUCCCUCCCACGCCGAAGGGAACCACUGUCCUAACACUAUUUAUCUCUCCCAUGCAUACUUUUGGACCUAUAAACACAGAAUAUUGUAAGACAAUGUAGUAAAACAAUAGAUUUCACACUUUUUACCACACUCAAUCCAUGAAAAGCAUUUUAUACUUUGACCCUGUAAACAUGCACGCACACACACACACACGUGCAUGCAUAUACGUAGACAUAUAUACCUGUGUAUGUGAGCGCAUAUGUAAUCUGAAACAAAAUUUUCAUGAAAUAACACUCUUAACUACUUGCGGUACAUUCUGAUUUUUUUUUUUUUUUUUUAAGAUGGAGGCAAGAGAAUCAUUUAACCCGGGAGGCUGAGGUUGCAGUGAGCGGAGAUUGCACCACUGCACUCCAGGUUGGGUUACAGACUUUUUCUUUUUUCUACAACCAUGACAAUCCCAACUCAGCUCAUAGGGACUAACAAGAAAGUGGACUCUACAGUCUCUAUAGCAACACUGGAGUGGAGGAGGCAAGCUAACUCUAAGUUGUUAUGUUGAUGGUGGCUGAUCAUCAGGCAUGUUUAGUACCAAAGUUCUCGAACAUGUAUGCUUGAAUGUACACCCUACAUGAUUUCUUUGUAAUGUUCUUUUUCCAUCCCAUGACUCCACCCAAAUUCUCCACUCACUAUCUCCCACUGUAUGGUUUUAUGGGGCUGCUCAUCCAAGGACCGUACUGGUACAGUAUUCUCAAUUCCUUCCAUUAUCAUAUUGUUAUAAUAAAAAUGUUAUUUUUGUAUCCUAGGUAACCCAAUU